rnacentral:rRNA from 1 species
AUGCGUGAUCAGGUCGGCAUCGACCUGGACGGCUUCCCCCUCGACCACGAGUUCACGGACAACUACGGACUAGAGGAAGAGGACGAGUGCGACAUUGAAGUGGAGCCUUUGUUCGAGGACGAGCUCGCCAACCAAGCCGCCGGUCCUAAGCCGAAGCGCAAGAGCAAGCGCACGUACACGGCAGCCGAGGACAAGCUUCUUUGCGAGUGUUGGCGAGACAUUGGAAAAGACCCCAAGACGGGCGCCGAGCAAAAGCAUUCAACCUUUUGGAUUCGUGUCCACCGGGAGUUUCAUGAGCUCAAGAAGUUUUCGCCUUACCAAUUUGUGAGCACGCGCGUGUGGGUCUCCAUUUCCAAGCAGUGGAGGGUGAUCCAACAAGAGUGCAACAAGUUUUGCGCCACUCUUGAGAGCGUCAAGGCCCGCCCCGUGAGCGGCAUCGGUAUGCAAGACAUAGUAUGCUAG